rnacentral:lncRNA from 1 species
UUCUUCCACACACAGUGUAAGUCCAUCCUUCCAUCCUGAAUUGUAGGCACACACUCAGUAAACACCCACCCGUCCUGCAGCUGUGAUGGGCUCCCUGGCAGGGGCUUUGCUCUAGGCAUCUUUCCUCCAAGCAUCCACAGAAAGGAGGGCCACCAAGGAAGACCUUCUUGAGUGGCAAUUAGCUUAAUUUGCUUUAUUUGCAUUUCUCAAUGUUUGUUUAGGGAUGAACAGAGUUUAGACUAUAGCUAUUGUUUGGGCACCUAAAAGGAAUGUGCCUGUAGUAAAUGCAUCAAAAGUUCUGUCUCCCUCUGUAAGAAAGGAGAAGCAAAAAAGAAUCGCAAGUCAGAAAGUGUUGGCCUUCCACUGACAGAGCUGGAAGAGGCCAGAGUCCAGCCGCGGGGUUCUUUCUGUGCCAUCGACCUCCCUGCGCCCCCAUCUCAGAUCCUCCUUCUUCCAGCUGAACCAGAGCCUGCCUGCCUCACAACCACUUGGUGGCCCUGCUACAAGUCAGAGAAAACAACAACAGGGAAUGUGUCUUUUCAAAAGUGUUUUCACUUACCGGGGCUUUCCAAAGACAAUUUUCAUUUUAGAAAAGUUGUGCCGGAAUUCCUGUCACGGCUCAGUAGUUAAUGAAUCCAACUAGAAGCCAUGAGGUUGCAGGUUCGAUCCCUGGCCUUGCGCAGUGGGUUAAAGAUCCAGUGAGCUGUGGUGUAGGUCACAGAGGCAGCUCGGACCUGGCGUUGCUGUGGCUAUAGCCACGUCUGCGACCUACACCAUAGCUCAGAGCAACACUGGAUCCCCGAGCUGCUGAGUGAGGCCAGGGAUCGAACCUGUAUGGAUACUAGUGGAUACUAAUGGAUACUAGUUGGAUUCAUUUCCAUUGCAUCACAACGGGAACUCCCUAUUUUUUAAAUUUACAUAAAGUAAUUUCACUAUAUGUGUCUGUAACCUUUUUCACUCCACACUGUGCUUUUCAGAGUGACUCUUAGUGAUACAUGAAGAUCUAGUUCAUGCAUCUUGAACACUACAGAGUAUUUUGGUAGAGCACACAUAGCACAAUGUUUCUCCUUAUUCCCCUGUGGAUGGAUAGCUUGGCUGUUUCCUGCACAAACAGUGAGGCAGCGACGGUCCUUUGCAGGUCCCUUUGAGUACAUAUGCACAAAUGUGUGCUUUCAUCUGUGCAUCACCUACCAAUGUCCCUUUAACACCUUACUGGGCUUGUCUGCUUUUCUUAUUGCCUCCCUCACCCCCAAGCAGAGAGUACAUUCAUUUCACUUCUAUGCCAUUAGCACAUCAUACCUAACUCAUAAUGGAUUAACACGGAGGGAGAGAGGGCAGGAGGAGGGAAGGAAGAAAAGAAGGGAGGGAGGGAGGCCAUAGAAGUUUCCAACAUCAAGGUCAGGAUCAAAGGACUAGGCAGCCAAUAGCAUUAUUUUGUGGAAAUCCAGGUAUGAAGUUGGUAGUGAGGAGUCCAGGAGGCAUUUUAAUAUGAUUUACAUGCCUGGGAUCAGAAAACACACUCUCAGCAUGCUUUUUACUCCGGUAGAAAAAUAGAGGCCCUGACUAUAUUUUGCACUGGUACUUAAACAGGCUUCUGACAAAAACCAAAGACUAUUUUGUGUAGUUUUCCAGAUAAAGUAAACUACAUUAUCUUAAGCCAGCUGACCAUAUACAAAGAUGAAACUUUGUCAAUGUUAAAAAUAAAAUAGCCACUUACCUCAGUAGCAGAAUGAGUUUACUCUGGAAUACCCAGAGGAAUUGCAGUUUGGGAAAUGUAAUCUAUGGCAGACCAUAGCAAAUCC